GGCGAACGGGUGAGUAACGCGUGAGCAACCUGACUCUUAGAGGGGGAUAACACUCGGAAACGAGUGCUAAUACCGCAUAAGACCACGACAUGGCAUCAUGACGAGGUCAAAGGAGCAAUCCGCUGAGAGAGGGGCUCGCGUCCCAUUAGAUAGAUGGCGGGGUAACGGCCCACCAUGUCAACGAUGGGUAGCCGAGCUGAGAGGCUGAUCGGCCACACUGGAACUGAGACACGGUCCAGACUCCUACGGGAGGCAGCAGUGGGGAAUAUUGGGCAAUGGGCGCAAGCCUGACCCAGCAACGCCGCGUGAGGGAAGAAGGCUUUCGGGUUGUAAACCUCUGUCCUUGGUGACGAAAAAAAUGACGGUAGCCAAGGAGGAAGCCCCGGCUAACUACGUGCCAGCAGCCGCGGUAAUACGUAGGGGGCGAGCGUUGUCCGGAAUUACUGGGCGUAAAGGGUGCGUAGGUGGCCUUUUAAGUUGGAUGUGAAAUACCCGGGCUUAACCUGGGGGGUGCAUCUAAUACUGGGAGGCUAGAGUGCAGGAGAGGAAAGCGGAAUUCCUAGUGUAGCGGUGAAAUGCGUAGAUAUUAGGAGGAA
rnacentral:rRNA from 1 species